rnacentral:rRNA from 1 species
UACGUAGGGGGCUAGCGUUGUCCGGAAUCAUUGGGCGUAAAGCGCGCGUAGGCGGCCCGGUAAGUCCGCUGUAAAAGUCCAGGGCUCAACCCUGGAACGCCGGUGGAUACUGUCGGGCUAGAGUCCGGAAGAGGAGAAUGGAAUUCCCGGUGUAGCGGUGAAAUGCGCAGAUAUCGGGAAGAACACCCGUGGCGAAGGCGGUUCUCUGGGACGGUACUGACGCUGAGACGCGAAAGCGUGGGGAGCGAACAGG